rnacentral:rRNA from 1 species
UACAGAGGGUGCGAGCGUUAAUCGGAAUUACUGGGCGUAAAGCGCACGUAGUCGGCUUUGCAAGUCGGGUGUGAAAUCCCCGGGCUCAACCUGGGAACUGCAUCCGAGACUGCAUUGCUAGAGUAUGGGAGAGGGAAGCGGAAUUUCUGGUGUAGCAGUGAAAUGCGUAGAUAUCAGGAGGAACACCAAUAGCGAAGGCAGCUCGCUGGGACGGUACUGACGCUAAGGCGCGAAAGCGUGGGGAGCAAACGGG